CCUAACUAUGUCUAUUCUAAUGUCUGCUCAGAAGUAAGCCUUGUUUACUAAGAAGGGCUUCCUCCCAUUUAGAAUUGGAGCCUAAGUGUGGGCUGUGGAACUUGGAAGGAAGGAGCCCAUUUAUAUGAAAUAGUAGACCCAGGCUGAGGGAAAAUGUGUAACACAAAAGUUUGGAAGUCCUUGCUUUCUUACUUAUUUGAUGAACCAAGGAGCAGCUAUGUGCUGCUCCACCUCAACAGUGCCGAGACACCUUGUGAUGUUCCUAUAUAUUAGUGUAUAUAUGGUUAGCUCAUCACACCAUCCAGACAGACUAGCCAAGUGGGGGAUCGGCUGGGAAAAUGGCGAUGGAGGUUGUUUUGUUCUGAGCUCCGUGACUCCCUCCUAAUUUACCGGCUUUAUUGUUUUAAACUUUCACUUUAUUGUUUUAUGGUUUUAGCAUUUUAACAUUUUGUUUAGUGUUUUGUGAUUAAGGACUAGCCAAGUGGCUAUAUUUUUUGUGACAAGUUGUAUGUUAAAAAUCUUUUGACCACUGAAGAAGGCCCACAGGUUUGAAACGUGUGGUCUUAGGUAUAGUAAUUUAUUAUUUGUCACAUUAGUUUGUUGAUCUGGCAUUCACCUGGAUACAUGAGUCCAUUUACAUUGCAUAUUAGCAAUUUUAUUUAUACCCUUAUUACUUUUUACCAUUAUUACAUUUUAACAUUCUU